GAGCUCACAUUUAUAAUCUGGCACCUUCGGUGUCCGAGUUGUAAUCUCUAGAAAUGUUUUCCGCGUUGGACCGCACACAAGUCUGUUGGAAUACAGCGGCAUAGUGGUGAGACCCCCGUAUAUGGUGCGGACGCCCAGCGCUUUGUGAUACAUUUUCGAAGAGUCGAGUUGUUUGGGAAUGCAGCUCAAAUUGGGUGGUAAAUUCCAUCUAAAGCUAAAUAUUGGCGAGAGACCGAUAGCGAACAAGUACCGUGAGGGAAAGAUGAAAAGCACUUUGGAAAGAGAGUUAACAGUACGUGAAAUUGUUGGAAGGGAAACGCUUGAAGUCAGACUUGCUUGCCGAGCAAUCGGUUUGCAGGCCAGCAUCAGUUUUCCGGGAUGGAUAAUGGUAGAGAGAAGGUAGCAGUUUCGGCUGUGUUAUAGCUCUCUGCUGGAUACAUCUUGGGGGACUGAGGAACGCAGUGUGCCUUUGGCGGGGGUUUCGACCUCUUCACACUUAGGAUGCUGGUGGAAUGGCUUUAAACGACCCGUCUUGAAACACGGAC
rnacentral:rRNA from 1 species